GGAUAAUAUCCCACACACAAAGGUGAGAAUUAAGUAAAUAAUCUUCUCUUGACCAUCCUCUCUUCCAUCUUCCUCUAGCUCCUUUCAACUUAUGACCGCAACAAUGAAUCUUAAAUAAACUGCUUCAAAGUCGUCAUAAUGAAGUAACUGAUAGGAUAGUACUGGCAGCCACAUUGAUGAUAAUGAACCUGAGGAUGAAGGGUCGACUCUCCACCCAAACAGCUGGAUGAUCUCCAUCCGAAGCUAAGUCUGCCUUUCAGUUUAAUUCAGUUCAGUUACAUACAAUUCAAUUUAAUAAAUAUUUAUUCAACUGCCUCUCCACCCUUAAUUUCUGAUUGUGUGUUCCAUGAGAGUGGUGAGAUCCUAUUUUUAAAAUAAGAGGGCAGAGAUACUUCAAUUUAUCUCAUUUUUUAGAAGGAUAUUUAAAAAAAAUUACCGUCUUAAACACAGAUUGCAAGUUUCUAAAAAUUGUGCAUUGGAUUCAGAUAUUCUUUUUCUGACGCUCAAAGCUCUAAACAGAUAGUUGUUUGUAUAUGUGUAAGACAUCCAUCUUUUGAUUUGUUCAAUUGUUCAGUACAUGUUAAUAAAUAUCACUGAGCUAAGAUAACUAAGAGAGAGUACUUGGCUUUUGAAGACUGCCCAGAAAAGUAG
rnacentral:lncRNA from 1 species